rnacentral:lncRNA from 1 species
GUGCUCGCUGUGUCCGGAGUCCUCAAGGCAAUGUAGGUAUGGCACACGAAGGCCCUGCGCUCACUUGUCGGCCAGGGCGCUGUGCUGGGCCUGGCAGAACUCUGCCCUCACGCUCAGAAUCGCCAUAAAUGUGCGACGUAAAUUCCAACAGAACACUCGGUGCCUUCGCGGGGGCGUCCCGCGCCGGACGGGCAGCGCGAGGAGCGCCGCUGCGCAGCCGUUCUCCGCUGCCGCGGGUCCACGCGCG